GGAGAGGUGGCAGAGCGGCCGAUUGUGCAACACUGGAAAUGUUGUGUCUCCGAAAGGGGACCGGGGGUUCGAAUCCCCCCCUCUCCG
rnacentral:tRNA from 1 species